AUUGAACGCUGGCGGCAUGCCUUACACAUGCAAGUCGAACGGCAGCACGGGAGCUUGCUCCUGGUGGCGAGUGGCGAACGGGUGAGUAAUACAUCGGAACGUACCCAGGAGUGGGGGAUAACGUAGCGAAAGUUACGCUAAUACCGCAUAUUCUGUGAGCAGGAAAGCGGGGGAUCGCAAGACCUCGCGCUCUUGGAGCGGCCGAUGUCGGAUUAGCUAGUUGGUGAGGUAAAAGCUCACCAAGGCGACGAUCCGUAGCAGGUCUGAGAGGAUGAGCUGCCACACUGGGACUGAGACACGGCCCAGACUCCUACGGGAGGCAGCAGUGGGGAAUUUUGGACAAUGGGGGCAACCCGGAUCCAGCCAUGCCGCGUGAGUGAAGAAGGCCUUCGGGUUGUAAAGCUCUUUCGGCGGGGAAGAAAUGGCAACGGCUAAUAUCCGUUGUUGAUGACGGUACCCGCAUAAGAAGCACCGGCUAACUACGUGCCAGCAGCCGCCGUAAAAC
rnacentral:rRNA from 1 species